rnacentral:rRNA from 1 species
GGAGGUAGUGACAAUAAAUCACAAUGCGGAACUUCUGUUUUGCAAUUGGAUUGAGAACAACGCACAACAUUUAUCGAUAAACAAUUGGAGGGCAAGUCUGGUGCCAGCAGCCGCGGUAAUUCCAGCUCCAAUAGCGUAUAUUAACGUUGUUGCAGUUAAAAAGCUCGUAGUUGAAGUGAAGUGUGAAUCUCUUGGAUUUUCGUUUGAAUUUCCUUUAGCUUCAUACUCUUUCCAAAUAGUUUGCAUGGGUAUUUACUUAUCUGUGUAUUGCAUUUGGUCAUUUACUGUGAGAAAAUUAGAGUGUUCAAAGCAUACGUUUGUUUGAAUACAUUAGCAUGGAAUAAUUCGAAAAGGCUUUCAUGUUCGAUUUGAUUGGUUUGUUCGUGAAGGCAAGAUUAAAAGGGACAGUUGGGGGUAUUCAUAUUCAAUAGUCAGAGGUGAAAUUCUCGGAUUUAUGGAAGAUGAACAA